ACUGGUCGAGCGGAGCAGGGAGCUUGCAAAUGUUUUGUCGCGGCGUGGGGUGAGUAAUGCUUAUGAAUCUGCCUAUUCCUGAUGGACAGCAUUACCAAAGGGACCUUGUUACCACAUCCGCCCAACGUGAGAAAGCCGGGGAUCUUCAGACCUUGCCCUAAUAGCGAUGAGCAUAUGUCGGAUUAGCAAGUUGGUGGGGUAAAGGCCUACCAAGGCCACGAUCUGUAGAACUGUUGGACUUCUCAACUGAGACACGGACCAGACUCCUACGGGAGGAAGCGGUGGGGAACAUGACAAGGGGGGGAACCCUGAUCUUCAGAGGUACCGCGUGCAUGGAAGGCCUUGUGUUUGUAAAGUUCUUUAAGCAAGGAGGAGGCGAAAGGGGUUAAUACCUAUAAUUUGUGGACGUUACUCCCAGAAUAGUUCGUAGUUUGUUAGUU
rnacentral:rRNA from 1 species